rnacentral:lncRNA from 1 species
AAGAUAUUCACAGACUCAUAUUGACUCUGUAAACCAAAUCGGCAACUCUGCAUUCAUAUGAACGACGAAAGACGGUUGUUUCCUAGCACUACGUGCCAAGCUAUCCGCCCUUAGGUUUUCCGUUCGGGGUACAUGGACGACGUCUGAGUUGAUGAAGUUUCUUCGUAAAAGCUUGAUAUCUUCCAGGUAGCUUUCAAAUGCUGGCCAUUCUUCUGUUUCCGAAACCAUCUUCACCAAUUGAGAACAAUCCGUUGCAAACGUAACCUGAAACUGUCGUAGGUUCUUCAUACAUUCCAUUGCCCAAAUCAAC